UCUACGGGAGGCAGCAGUAGGGAAUCUUCCACAAUGGACGAAAGUCUGAUGGAGCAACGCCGCGUGAGUGAUGAAGGUUUUCGGAUCGUAAAACUCUGUUGUAAGGGAAGAACAAGUACGUUAGGAAAUGAACGUACCUUGACGGUACCUUAUUAGAAAGCCACGGCUAACUACGUGCCAGCAGCCGCGGUAAUA
rnacentral:rRNA from 2 species